GACGAACGCUGGCGGCGUGCUUAACACAUGCAAGUCGAACGAAGUGGCGAACGGGUGAGUAGUGCGUAAUCAACCUGCCCUUAAGUGGGGAACACCAGUUGGAAGCGCCUGUUAAUACUGCAUACAGAUGUAGGGGGGUGUGUCGGAUUCGCUAGUUGGCGGGGUAACGGCCCACCAAGGCGAUGAUCAGCCGCCGGUAUGAGGGGAUGGACGGCCGCAAUGGGACUGGGGAACGGCCCAGAGUCCUACGGGAGGCAGCAGUGGGGAAUCGUCCGGAAUGGACGAAAGUCAGACGACGCAACGCCGCGGGAGGGAUGACGGCCUUCGGGUUGUAAAGCUCUGUUAAUCGGGACGCGGUACCGGAAUAGAAAGCCACGGCUAACUACGUGCCAGUAGCCGCGGUAAUAC
rnacentral:rRNA from 1 species